CCUACGGGAGGCAGCAGUGGGGAAUAUUGGGCAAUGGAUGCAAGUCUGACCCAGCCAUGCCGCGUGAAGGAAGAAGGUCCUCUGGAUUGUAAACUUCUUUUAUCGGGGAAGAAGAAACGCCUUGCGAGGUGAAGUGACGGUACCCGAUGAAUAAGCCACGGCUAACUACGUGCCAGCAGCCGCGGUAAUACGUAGGUGGCAAGCGUUGUCCGGAUUUAUGGGGUUUAAAGGGUGCGUAGGUGGUUUAAUAAGUCAGUGGUGAAAGCUGGUUGCUCAACAAUCAAGUUGCCAUUGAUACUGUUAGACUUGAGAGAAGUGGAGGCUGGUGGAAUGGAUGGUGUAGCGGUGAAAUGCAUAGAUAUCAUCCAGAACGUCAAUUGCGAAGGCAGCUGGCUGUACUUUUUCUGACACUGAGGCACGAAAGUGUGGGGAUCAAACAGGAUUAGAUACCCUGGUAG
rnacentral:rRNA from 1 species